rnacentral:lncRNA from 1 species
UUGAUUUAAAUUUUUUUUUUUUUUUUAUACAGCUUGUCACUGUUUAUUGCAGAUUGGCUUGAACCAUUAUAGUGCAGAGUUGCAUUAAACCCACAGCAAUCCUCCUGCCUCAGCUCCCCCAGGGCUGGCCACCAGGAGAGGAGCGCAAGAUAAUAAAAUAUGAUGGACAUGUGUUGGCUACGAUUAAAUCAAAACCUUUUUUUUAUAAUUUCCAUUGAAGCUCAUUAACUGUGCCUAUAACAUAACGUUGACUUUGAUUUUAAUUUUGACGGAGAUCAAAUAUUCAAUUAUACUUCUAUGAAAGUGGAAUGUAUAUGGAGC